GUUCUAUCUAUCCAGAUACUUACAUGGCUCCGGUCACUGUAGUAUUUAAGUGCUGGAAUGUUUUGCAAAUGUAUCUGAGGUUCACUGAUGUUUUGGGAACACCCAGUCAAACAGCAGCUUUGUUACAAGGGAAACACCAAGUGAAGUGGGGAGAGGACAGCAGGCCAGUACUCUCCUGACAUCCUUGGGAGAGAAGGAGGAGAUGGGAGGGAGCCCCCAGGCCAUUCUGAAGAUACCAGUGAUGGUGAAACUGAGGCACAGAGAGAUUAAUGUCAGCAUUUUCAAAAGGAGAAAAUGGCUGCUGGAGAGACAGCAGAGGAUCUCAGUGUGAAGGGAGAAGUGCUGGAAACGGAAUGAGCUACAGGGAUAGUGCAUCCUCACAACAAGGAAGAGGGGAGAAGUGAGAAUCUGGAGAGGGAAAAUUACAGCCAGUCUGGAAAGACGCAGCCAUGGCAUGAACCAGGAGUUUUCCAAUGGGGUUGGAGAAGAAUGGGCCUAUCUUAGAAAUGCUGUUGAAGGGGUUUGGUUGACAUGUGUGUGUUGUUGGGGGUCCUCGCUGCUGUAAUGGAGUAUAA